AACCAACAGGGAUUGCCUUAGUAGCGGCGAGUGAAGCGGCAAGAGCUCAAAUUUGAAAUCUGGUAUCUUCGAUGCCCGAGUUGUAAUUUGUAGAAGAUAUUCUUGGGUUUGGUCCUUGUCUAUGUUCCUUGGAACAGGACGUCACAGAGGGUGAGAAUCCCGUGCGACGAGGUGUCCAUUUCCUUAUAAGAUGUUUUCGAAGAGUCGAGUUGUUUGGGAAUGCAGCUCUAAGUGGGUGGUAAAUUCCAUCUAAAGCUAAAUAUUGGCGAGAGACCGAUAGCGAACAAGUACUGUGAAGGAAAGAUGAAAAGAACUUUGAAAAGAGAGUGAAAAAGUACGUGAAAUUGUUGGAAGGGAAGGGUAUUUAAUCAGACUGGUAUUUAGUUAUCAUUGCCUCUCGGGGUGGUGCUCUAACUUUUUACUGGGCCAGCAUCAGUUUUGGUGGUAAGAUAAUCGCAGUUGAAUGUGGCUUUCUUCGGAAAGUGUUAUAGCUUCUGUUGAUGUUACCUACUGGGACUGAGGUCUGCGGCUUUGCCUAGGAUGUUGGCGUAAUGAUUAAAUACCGCCCGUCUUGAACA
rnacentral:rRNA from 1 species